AACGAACGCUGGCGGCGUGCUUAACACAUGCAAGUCGAACGCGAAAUUUUUCUUCGGAAAGAGAGUAGAGUGGCGCACGGGUGAGUAACGCGUAAGUUAUCUACCUCGGCAUCUGGAAUAACUCACCGAAAGGUGUGCUAAUACCGGAUACGUUGAGUAAUCAAGAAAGGUGGCCUCUGAAUAUGCUACCGUGCUGAGAUGAGCUUGCGUACCAUUAGCUAGUUGGUAGGGUAAUGGCCUACCAAGGCGACGAUGGUUAGCGGGUCUGAGAGGAUGAUCCGCCACACUGGAACUGGAACACGGACCAGACUCCUACGGGAGGCUG
rnacentral:rRNA from 1 species